CCUACGGGCGGCUGCAGUCGAGAAUCAUUCACAAUGGGGGAAACCCUGAUGGUGCGACGCCGCGUGGGGGAAUGAAGGUCUUCGGAUUGUAAACCCCUGUCAUGUGGGAGCAAAUUAAAAAGAUAGUACCACAAGAGGAAGAGACGGCUAACUCUGUGCCAGCAGCCGCGGUAAUACAGAGGUCUCAAGCGUUGUUCGGAAUCACGGGGCGUAAAGCGUGCGUAGGCUGUUUCGUAAGUCGUGUGUGAAAGGCGCGGGCUCAACCCGCGGACGGCACAUGAUACUGCGAGACUAGAGUAAGGGAGGGGGAACCGGAAUUCUCGGUGUAGCAGUGAAAUGCGUAGAUAUCGAGAGGAACACUCGUGGCGAAGGCGGGUUCCUGGACAUUAACUGACGCUGAGGCACGAAGGCCAGGGGAGCGAAAGGGAUUAGAUACCCCUGUAGUC
rnacentral:rRNA from 1 species